CCUACGGGUGGCUGCAGUGGGGGAUAUUGCACAAUGGGGGAAACCCUGAUGCAGCGACGCCGCGUGAGUGAAGAAGUCUUUCGGUAUGUAAAGCUCUAUCAGCAGGGAAGAAAAUUACAGUACCUGACCAAGUCGCCCCGGCUCACUACGUGCCAGCCGCCGCGGGAAUACGUAGGGGGCAAGCGUUAUCCGGAUUUACUGGGUGUAAAGGGAGCGUAGGCGGUUAUGUAAGUCUGGAGGGAAAGCCCGGGGCCGAACCCCGGGACUGCUUUGGAAACUGGGUAACUGGAGUGCAGGAGGGGCAGGCGGAAUGCCUGGGGUAGCGGUGUAAUGCGUAGAUAUCGGGAGGAACACCGGCGGCGAAGGCGGCCUGCUGGACUGAAACUGACGUUGAGGCGCGAAAGCGUGGGGAGCAAACAGGAUUAGAGACCCGUGUAGUC
rnacentral:rRNA from 1 species